GGCCUCUUAAAAAUGAAAGAAACCAUCUGAUUGGUUGCUAUGGGCAACUCAGCAACUUUUCCUCCAGACAGAUAUCAUGCUGAGGUUCUUACUGCUGAAUGACAUUUCCCUAAAACAAAAUGACAUUACAGAUUACUUAAAUGAAUUAACUAAAAUAACCUUGUCCUAAGGGAUGGAGUUCAGCCAUGUAUCUGUCUUAAGAAUAAUUUUACUGACUGAAAGCUAUACAUUUGGGAGCCCAGAAGAGCAGUAGGAUUGUUUAUUUCACACGAGGAAGGGGAAGUAAAAGGAUUUAAGCUGAUUAUUUUGGUUGCUUGCCAGGGUCUUCGAGCUGAGCUAUGAAACAUGCUUAAAUUGACAAAAAUUAAGAAUAUUGGGAAUUCAAGGUCAAGCAGUGAAGAAGUGUUUGAAGAAAUGUGAUGAGUCAUUAAGUCCGGAGUUACAUACGUGCCUUACCAGUCUGCUGAAGACAUUAUCUCUGUAUAAUAUUAGCUGUUUCUGCAGGUUUUUAGCAAUGUUAAGAUGACCUAACUCACCGAACGGGCGUACUUUUAUUCUGAGAAAACAUUUUAACAUUUUCUGGCAUAUUACCAUAAAUUAUUUAUUAUGGUGCUCUUAAUAUCAACCUGUA